UGCAUGAACCAACAAUUCUCUCCUGCAGGGCUGAGAAUGUGCAGGUAUCAGGAUGCUUAUCUACUGCACUAGCACUAUGCACUUCUGGAAGCAAGUUUUUUAUUUGGUUGUGCAGUUCAAGCUUCAGUUCAGUAGGUGGCAGUUAAUUGUAAGAGCUUGAUUGCCCUCAGGUAGGUGAUGAUGAGUAGAAGCACCUGCUCUCAUGUGGCCAGUGGUGGUGGGAGAUUGUGUUGGAGUGUGCUAAGGUAUUCUGGGCUGGACUUGGGGAAUGCAACACCUCCUCAUUGUGGGAAGACAAUAAUUCAAUCCACUUCCCUAUCACACCCCUGUCACAGGGCUCAGGACUUUCAGUUUAUACAGACUUCGUCCUGUGUGGCUGUGGACUACAAAUAUGCCCCUCUAGCAGCUUUCACCUAACUGGGCUCAGGGCAGAGCCUUUUCUCAUAGUCCAGAACUGACUACUCUGGCUUGUCUGCCUCUGUUGCUGGGAUGCUGUUACUCUGUGUAGGAAGCAGGAAUUGAGCACUAUCCUUCAUGCAAGAACUAGCUGCACAAACUCACUUUCAACUGGGAUAGAACUGCCACAGGAAGGGCUGGAAUGGCUUUCUCCAAGUGCAUACAUCCACCCCCAGUGAGAAGAGUCUCUGCUGUGUUUGCAACAGUGAACAAGGAAAGCAUGGAGAUGACCCCGUCUCCUUGCCCUGGACAUUCCUACAUUGAUUGUCAAGGUGUUGAAAUUUCCACCAUGUAGUUUUUUCUCCACACUCACAGAGAGGCUCACGGUAAACCUCCUAAAGCAUCUUAUUAAAAGAGAAACGCUACAGCCAUAGUCACAGAUGAGCUCUGGUGACUAAAAUCCCACCUACCACUACUUGACUGUUGCGGUCCCUGAAGCCUACAAAAUCGCAGAAUGAUUGCUGGUUCUCAAACCUCUAGGUUACUUUAUGAUUGGGAAUUUUACAUAUAUCCAUUGCCUGAAAUGCCCUUAGCAUCUAUUACCCUUUGAGACUUAGCUUCAAUAUCAAGUAAUGAAGCCUUUCUUAAGUACCUAGAGAAAAUCAGUUUUCCGGUCUUUCAUGCUACCUUUGUACACACAGCUUUCUGUUGUUACCUUUUCAAAUCAAUCAUUUCACCAUUAUUUCUCUAUGCAUUCAUUCAUUAUUUCAACAAAUAUUUAUCGGGUGUUUAAUAUGUUUAUAGCCAUGUGCUAAGCACUGAGGUUAUACUUUGUCGUGACUCCAUGGUUAAACUCCACAGGGACAAGAUCCACACAAAUAUUCUGUGUGAAGGACACAUAAAUAGUUUGGGGGUACAUCAUGCCUAUGACUGAUAUGAAGAAGGUGUAAACAAAUGUAUAUUGAAUUAAAGAAUACCUUAAAUAUUUGUUUGUAAGAGAUAUAGUUUUAGGAUUUGUUACAAUAGUUAGAAAAGGGUUUCAUGAAUAUGGAAUGAAAGCUUAGACUGCAACUGUUUUACAAAGCGCUUUUAAAAGUAACUACUAAAAUAAUCUAGUAACACUUUUAGAGUCAUUUAGAAAAGAAUAAAAUAAUCUUAGCCUAGCUAACAGGAUGUUCCAAUAAAACUAUUGUGAAGUGGUAGGACUCUUGAUUAUGGUGAGAAUGGGUCAGAAUGGAUGAAUCAACACAUUUGUGUAAAGAAUAAUAUCUAGAAAUGAUGACAAUGUAUAUUUGAAAGAAAAGAGUAUUAAAAAUGUCUUUAAAUUUUCCAAUUUGUUGUACUCAUAGGAAAAUAGGAGGUGAAAAUGAAAUACUUAGAGAUGGUGUCUUAAUUUAUUUCAAGAAUUUGAGGUAAAAAGGAACUGCUCUGCCCUGUUAAUAUGUGAGAUGAGCAAUUUAGGAGGGAGGUCA
rnacentral:lncRNA from 10 species